AUCUCUCCUUUUUUUCCUUGUUUGCUGCCUCUACAUUUCUCUUAUUUUGCUUGGGAUUUUACUAAUUCCCUGGAAGAAGGCUUGACAGUGUCCGAAAAGAGCUCUCUGCCUGUUAUCGCCCUCUUUUUGUUUUAUUGCUCUCUCUCUGCUUUUUUUACUUCUGCUGUACUUUGAGAUUUCCAAAGUUCUCCCUAGUUCAAAUCCUUUGACUUGUGCAUUUGGCCCCCUGGUCAUGUCUUCUUUCUUCAUCCUGUCUCCUCUUAAUGCUUUCUCCAUCUCAUACCCAUCCCUUUUUUGGUGGGGGUCUCUACAUGCUCCUGUCCCAGGUCUCCUAAUGGAUGAGCAGAGUUCAUUUCUCUCUCUGUCACAUUGUCAUCCACCCUUGCUUUGUCUCCAAGCUCAUUGAUCCAGUUGCAUAGUCUCAAUAUUCUGACUUCUUCCUUCUGACCACUUCUACAGGACCUUCUGGUCUGAAUUUGAAAUAUUUCCUCUGUACUGAAAUUGUCCUCACAAGCCACUAUCACUUUACAAAAUGCUGCACAUGCUGCAGUUCUUUUUCUCUGACACCACUGGUCAUUUCUACAGAUUAUCUCUUUAUUAGGUUUUCAUGAUCUUGAAUCAGAUUCUGAACUAACCAGAAAUGUAGCCUUGCUGUCCUCUUACUUUGUUACCAUUCCUUCUACUUGCUAACCGCUUAUCCAUAUCAGCAUAUAUAUAUAUUUUGUAUUGAGAGAUGAAUAUAUUUUGUUUUAUUUUACAGUGUCCAUGCAUGAAGUGAAGUGUUGGAAGGUGGCUCUGACUUGGCCACUGUAUGUAUUAUUGCAGCCCAUUAAACCUGUCUUUGUUAAGGUGUCUUUCUGUAGGUUUACAUCAAUAUACAUUUCAAUACCUUCUCUCACCAGUCCCAUCUUGCAGCUUGGUUUGACUGCAGAAGAUUGUGUGAGAAUGGAUGCUGCUGCUUUUCAUUAUAUCAGAGGAGAGGACCCUGAGCCCAAAACCUUUCUAUCUUUUCCAGCUGUAUCUGUUGGUCAAGGCACAUGCCAUGCUUCACUUUUAAGAAAAAUGCGGACGUUGUUGCCCUUCAGCAGUGUGGACUUGACUCAUGGCAGGCCACCAUGCCGGUUCCUGCCAUCGGACGCUUCUCUGCCGCAUGGCCGUCACCUCCUCCUGGGACGUGGCACAGCCUGCAGGCAACGUGGUCCUGAAAGGGCCCUGGCUGUGCCAGACAGGAAGCUACUCUUUCUCCAGUGGCCUGAUUGUGACAGGGCAGUGGUGCAACAGCUUCCUUUCCUGCCUUUCCUAAAUACACUACUCAGCAUCGCAGAUCAUACUGCCUUGUUUCAAGCCCUGUGUCUCUAGCAAUGACUAGCACAAAAGAGAGCGCUUAGCAGUGUGGAGACCUGGAUUUUCACCAGCUACUUUGGAUGUUGCUACCUGUUGAGCUUCAGCCUCACAAGCUGCUAAACCCACCUGAGGAUCUGGGUGGAUGAGCCCCUGCCUGGGGCACCCUUCUGCCAGCUGUAGCUGCUAUACGAGC